GGUAGNCGUACGAGCGCACCCCUAUCCUUAUUUGCCAGCGCAUAAUGGCGGGAACUAUAAGGAGACUGCCGGUCAUAAACCGGAGGAAGGCGGGGACGAGGUCAAGUCAUCAUGGCCCUUAUGGGUAGGGCUACACACGUGCUACAAUGGGUGGUACAGAGGGUCGCCAAAGCGUGAGCUGGAGCCAAACCCUUAAAACCAUUCUUAGUCCGGAUUGGAGUCUGCAACUCGACUCCAUGAAGUCGGAAUCGCUAGUAAUCGCGAAUCAGAAUGUCGCGGUGAAUACGUUCUCGGGCCUUGUACUCACCGCCCGUCACGUCAUGGAAGUGGGUUGCACCAGAAGUGGUUUGUUUAACCUUCGGGAGAACGGUCACCACGGUGUGAUUCACAACUGGGACGAAGUCGUAACAAGGUAGCCCUAGGGGAACCUGGGGCUGGAUCACCUCCUU
rnacentral:rRNA from 1 species